rnacentral:rRNA from 1 species
UACGUAGGGGGCGAGCGUUGUCCGGAAUUAUUGGGCGUAAAGAGCUCGUAGGCGGUUUGUCGCGUCGAAUGUGAAAACCCGGGGCUCAACCCCGGGCCUGCAUUCGAUACGGGCAGACUAGAGUUCGGUAGGGGAGUCUGGAAUUCCUGGGUGUAGCGGUGAAAUGCGCAGAUAUCAGGAGGAACACCAGUAGCGAAGGCGGCUCGCUGGGCCAUUCCUGACGCUGAGACGCGAAAGCUAGGGGAGCGAACAGG